UUUACAUCAUCCCAAACAAAGAUUUGUUGUCAUUUUUGGGUUAGACUGCCAAUAGCAGAAACUAUGUCCCUGAGUACACUGGUUUGACAGCACCACUGAGUCUUUUGGUAAAAAAGCAGGGUUGGAGAAAUCUUAAUGCAUCACUGAAUUGGAACACAGACGCCAGGAAUCGUUCAUUUAGUUUAAACAGCUGCGGUAGUUUGCUGCAUAAUUGCUCUUUCAGGAUUACUGUCUGCCUUUUUAUUUAGAUGUUUCUGUAACAACAAUGUUGUUUCAGCGAAAAGGGGGAUAUAGAGGUGAUUCAGUAUGUUAGCUGUAUGCUAGAUAAUAUGGAAAAAGACAUGUUGAUAUGAAACAAUGGUUGAGAAGUGGAUUUGUGAUUGCAGCACAGAAGCUAAUCAAACAUAAAAAUUAAAUUAGAUUCAUGGCUCGAGCUUUGUUGUUGCCUAAAAAGGAGCAGGUUAUGCAUGCAGCUUCAAUAUAGUAAGUGUUGAAGCUGAGAACUUUGAACAUCUAAACCUGGAAAAAAUCAAACAGCAUCACAAAAGGGGUUCUCCACUUGAGGAACUUACUGUGUGGAAGAGAAAAGGCCCUGGUGAUAAAAGUUGUGAAGCCACCAAACAUGAGAGAACACAUUUCGGAAGAGGGACAUGGAACAUCACAUGUAAGUUUAAAACUACACCCCACCUGGGAAGGAGAUCAUCAUUGACUACACAGACAUGGUAUCCACAGCAAGAGCAUAUAGAUACAGGUUGGUCUGUGUGGAUGGAUAUUCAGGAUGGCCUGAGGCAUGGCCCACAAGAAAGGAACACAGUAAGUAUUUGGUAAAAUGUUUAAUUAAUCAUUAUAUUCCCAGACAUGGCUUCCCGGAAAAGAUAAGGUCUGAUAAUGGAACUCAUUUCAGGAGCAAAGAUCUGCAACAGGUGGAGCAAAUGUUGGGACUAAAACAUGCUUUGGGUACAGUACAUCAGCCUCAAUCACAGGGCAAAGUUGAAAGAAUGAACCAAACAUUGAAAACAAAAUUGGCUAAAAUCUGUGCACAGACCAAAUUAAAUUGAGUGGAUGCUUUGCCAGAGGCUUUAAUGUAUGUCAGGAUGUCUGGUUAAUCAGUCCACAGGUUACACCUCACAUGAACUACAGACUGGGACCAGCACAGCGGAUACCAGGACAAACAGGUGAAUUUGCACAAUUAUCUUCUAACACGUUCUUUAAUGAGUUGCAGACCCUAGCAGCAGAGUUCUCCAGAGGACCUGAGGGAACAAGAGGCCCCCCUGUGGUACCAGGAGUCAACUGGGUGUCGCUCAAAGUCAUCAAGCCAGGAACCCAGGUUCACAGGCCCGUUCCAAGUCCUGGAAAGAACAUCUCAUGUGGUUCGUCUGAGAGGAAAAGGAGAAAUCUGGUAUCAUUGGAGCCAGUCUGCACCAGCUGAAGAGCCUACAAAGUCACAA